rnacentral:rRNA from 1 species
GCGGAGAACUGAAACAUCUAAGUACCCGCAGGAAAAGAAAUCAACCGAGAUUCCCAAAGUAGCGGCGAGCGAAAUGGGAUUAGCCCUUAAGUUACAGUGGAUUUAGCAGAACGCUCUGGAAAGUGCGGCAAUAGAGGGUGAUAGCCCCGUAUGCGAAAGGUCCAUUGUAGUGAAAUCGAGUAGGUCGGGACACGUGAAAUCCUGACUGAACAUGGGGGGACCAUCCUCCAAGGCUAAAUACUCCUAGCUGACCGAUAGUGAACUAGUACCGUGAGGGAAAGGCGAAAAGAACCCCGGUGAGGGGAGUGAAAUAGAUCCUGAAACCGCGUACGUACAAGCAGUAGGAGCCUCUUUUAUGGGGUGACUGCGUACCUUUUGUAUAAUGGGUCAGCGAGUUAUUGUCAGUAGCAAGGUUAACCGUUUAGGGGAGCCGUAGGGAAACCGAGUCUUAAUAGGGCGAAUUAGUUGCUGGUAAUAGACCCGAAACCGGGCGAUCUAGCCAUGGCCAGGUUGAAGGUGCCGUAACAGGCACUGGAGGACCGAACCCACCUAUGUUGAAAAAUGGGGGGAUGAGCUGUGGCUCGGAGUGAAAGGCUAAUCAAGCCCGGAGAUAGCUGGUUCUCCUCGAAAACUAUUUAGGUAGUGCCUCGCGUUUGACUGCUGGGGGUAGAGCACUGUGUCGGCUAGGGGGUCAUCCCGACUUACCAACCCGAUGCAAACUCCGAAUACCAGUAAGUAUUAUCGCGGGAGACAGACAGCGGGUGCUAACGUCCGUUGUCGAGAGGGCAACAACCCAGACCACCAGCUAAGGUCCCUAAUAUCAGUUAAGUGGGAAACGAUGUGGGAAGGCUUAGACAGCUAGGAGGUUGGCUUAGAAGCAGCCAUCCUUUAAAGAAAGCGUAAUAGCUCACUAGUCGAGUCGGCCUGCGCGGAAGAUAUAACGGGGCUAAACUGAUAACCGAAGCUGUGGAUGCGCAUUUAUGCGCAUGGUAGAGGAGCGUUCUGUAAGCCGUUGAAGGUGAAUCGUAAGGUUUGCUGGAGGUAUCAGAAGUGCGAAUGCUGACAUGAGUAACGAUAAGGGGGGUGAAAAACCCCCCCGCCGAAAGAUCAAGGUUUCCUGUCCAACGUUAAUCGGGACAGGGUGAGUCGGCACCUAAGGCGAGGGCGAAGGCCGUAGUCGAUGGAAAAUCGGUUAAAAUUCCGAUACCGAUUCUUACUGCGAUGGAGGGACGGAGCAGGCUAGGCUAGCACGGCGUUGGUAGUCCGUGUUUAAGCGUGUAGGUAGGGGGAUUAGGUAAAUCCGGUUCCCUGUUGAUCUGAGACGUGAUGACGAUCUCUUGGGGCAACCCUUGAGAGAAGUAGUUGAUGCCAUACUUCCAGGAAAAUCUUCUAAGCUUCAGGUAAGAAUUGACCGUACUGUAAACCGACACAGGUGAUCAGGUAGAGAAUACCAAGGCGCUUGAGAGAACUUGGGUGAAGGAACUAGGCAAAAUGGUACCGUAACUUCGGGAGAAGGUACGCUCUCUUUGGUGAUCGGACUUGCUCCGUAAGCUGAGGAGAGUCGAAGUGACCAGGUGGCUGCAACUGUUUAUUAAAAACAUAGCACUCUGCAAACUCGUGAGAGGAAGUAUAGGGUGUGACGCCUGCCCGGUGCCGGAAGGUUAAUUGAUGGGGUUAUCUUCGGAGAAGCUCUUGAUCGAAGCCCCGGUAAACGGCGGCCGUAACUAUAACGGUCCUAAGGUAGCGAAAUUCCUUGUCGGGUAAGUUCCGACCUGCACGAAUGGCGUAAUGAUGGCCACGCUGUCUCCACCCAAGACUCAGUGAAAUUGAAAUCGCUGUUAAGAUGCAGUGUACCCGCGGCUAGACGGAAAGACCCCGUGAACCUUUACUAUAGCUUCACACUGGACUUUGACCUUACUUGUGUAGGAUAGGUGGGAGACUUUGAAGCGUGAUCGCUAGAUUGCGUGGAGUCACCCUUGAAAUACCACCCUGGUAAUGUUGAGGUUCUAACUUGGCUCCUGAAACGGGAGUGAGGACAGUGUGUGGUGGGUAGUUUGACUGGGGCGGUCUCCUCCUAAAGAGUAACGGAGGAGCACGAAGGUACCCUAAG